UGGGCCAUCGAGCCUUCAUUGGAC
rnacentral:misc_RNA from 1 species